rnacentral:lncRNA from 10 species
UAGGCACUCCUCUUCCACUGCUUACUGUCUCCUCUCGGGAGUAAAGGGAGAAAAAAGAGGAUGUGAUGCCUAGGAAGGCUUGCCACUAUCUGUUUCAUGGAUACAAAGACAGAAGGGAACAUCCUGUUCAGAGAAGAGGACUCCACAUCCCUGAGCUCAGCAGUGGUCGGGCCCACAUCAGAGCUCAUAGCUGCUCGUGCUGUGUUACACUGCCCUGUCUCAGGCCCCGAGGAGGAGACAGACAGGGAAACAUCAUUAACAUGGAAGUAUGUACCAAUGUGCUGGAGCUGGCUUUCACUGGCUCUUCCCAACUCAGUAUUCAAUGACUUCACACUGCCAGCUUGAGAUGAGCCAUGAUGGGAAUGUCAGCACCACAGAAGUCAGCAGGUGCCGCAGAUGCCCUCCUUUAAGCAGAUCACUCAGCAUUUUCCAGUACACCCUGUACACAACACUAUUUCAGAUCAUCUUAUGUAUUUGUCAGCUUACCGAUCUGCUGUAUGUCUCCUCUACAUGAAGUUUCAUGAGGGCAGGGUCUAUGGCUUGUCAUUUUUGCCACUGUAUCCCUGGUUCCUAGAACAAUGCUUGUUGUAUAGUAGGUAUCCAAUACAUGCUGCUUGAAUGAAUAAAAGUCUGAGGGAAACACUGGAAACACAAGAGAGGAAACUGUUACCUUUGUACCUGAAUACGGAAUAUUUGAGCUGAGGCUUCAACCAUAAAAAAGAGUUUGCUAAGGAGCCAAGGGAGAAAGGACUUCCCAGGCAGAGGGAAUAAAAUGGAGGCAUGAAAGA